rnacentral:rRNA from 1 species
CCUACGGGAUGCAGCAGUGAGGAAUAUUGGUCAAUGGACGAGAGUCUGAACCAGCCAAGUAGCGUGAAGGAUGACUGCCCUAUGGGUUGUAAACUUCUUUUAUAUGGGAAUAAAACGUUCCACGUGUGGGAUUUUGUAUGUACCAUAUGACUAAGGAUCGGCUAACUCCGGGCCAGCAGCCGCGGUAAUACGGAGGAUCCGAGCGUUAUCCGGAUUUAUUGGGUUUAAAGGGAGCGUAGGUGGAUUGUUAAGUCAGUUGUGAAAGUUUGCGGCUCAACCGUAAAAUUGCAGUUGAAACUGGCAGUCUUGAGUACAGUAGAGGUGGGCGGAAUUCGUGGUGUAGCGGUGAAAUGCUUAGAUAUCACGAAGAACUCCGAUUGCGAAGGCAGUUCACUGGACUGCAACUGACACUGAGGCUCGAAAGUGUGGGUAUCAAACAGGAUUAGAUACCCCUGUAGUC